CCGGAGUGGACGCAUCACUGGUGUUCGGGUUGUCAUGCCAAUGGCACUGCCCGGUAGCUAAAUGCGGAAGAGAUAAGUGCUGAAAGCAUCUAAGCACGAAACUUGCCCCGAGAUGAGUUCUCCCUGAGCCUUUAAGGCUCCUGAAGGAACGUUGAAGACGACGACGUUGAUAGGCCGGGUGUGUAAGCGCAGCGAUGCGUUGAGCUAACCGGUACUAAUGAACCGUGAGGCUUAACCUUACAACGCCGAAGCUGUU
rnacentral:rRNA from 1 species